rfam:Haemonchus placei strain MHpl1 genome assembly, scaffold: HPLM_scaffold0003332
CAAUGAACGAUGAGGAUUGUAUAGUUCAGCUGAGAUACUAGAGAAUGCUGACAAAUUUCGCCCCUAUCUGAGUUCUUUU